rnacentral:rRNA from 1 species
CCUACGGGAGGCAGCAGUGGGGAAUUUUGCGCAAUGGGGGCAACCCUGACGCAGCAACGCCGCGUGAGUGAUGAAGGCCUUCGGGUCGUAAAGCUCUGUCAGAGGGGAAGAAAUGCAGGUGGUGAACAACCAUUCUGUUUGACGGUACCCUCAAAGGAAGCACCGGCUAACUCCGUGCAAGCAGCCGCGGUAAUACGGAGGGUGCGAGCGUUGUUCGGAAUUAUUGGGCGUAAAGCGCGUGUAGGCGGUUUGUUAAGUCUGAUGUAAAAGCCCCGGGCUCAACCUGGGAAGCGCAUUGGAUACUGGCAGGCUUGAGUACGGGAGAGGAGAGUGGAAUUCCCAGUGUAGGAGUAAAAUCCGUAGAUAUUGGGAGGAACACCGGUGGCGAAGGCGGCUCUAGGGACCGAUACUGACGCUCAGGGACGAAAGCGUGGGGAGCAAACAGGUUUAGAUCCCCUGGUAUU